AGUGAACGCUGGCGGUAGGCCUAACACAUGCAAGUCGAACGGCAGCACAGUAAGAGCUUGCUCUUACGGGUGGCGAGUGGCGGACGGGUGAGGAAUACAUCGGCAUCUACUUUUUCGUGGGGGAUAACGUAGGGAAACUUACGCUAAUACCGCAUACGACCUACGGGUGAAAGCAGGGGAUCUUCGGACCUUGCGCGAUUGAAUGAGCCGAUGUCGGAUUAGCUAGUUGGCGGGGUAAGGCCCACCAAGGCGACGAUCCGUAGCUGGUCUGAGAGGAUGAUCGGCCACACUGGAACUGAGACACGGUCCAGACUCCUACGGGAGGCAGCAGUGGGGAAUAUUGGGCAAUGGGCGCAAGCCUGAUCCAGCCAUACCGCGUGAGUGAUGAAGGCCUUCGGGUUGUAAAGCCCUUUUGUUAGGAAAGAAAAGAAGCAGGUGAAUACCCCGCUGUUCUGACGGUACCCAAUGAAUAAGCACCGGCUAACUUCGUG
rnacentral:rRNA from 1 species